rnacentral:rRNA from 1 species
UAGAGAGAAGCUUGCUUCUCUUGAGAGCGGCGGACGGGUGAGUAAUGCCUAGGAAUCUGCCUGGUAGUGGGGGAUAACGUUCGGAAACGGACGCUAAUACCGCAUACGUCCUACGGGAGAAAGCAGGGGACCUUCGGGCCUUGCGCUAUCAGAUGAGCCUAGGUCGGAUUAGCUAGUUGGUGAGGUAAUGGCUCACCAAGGCGACGAUCCGUAACUGGUCUGAGAGGAUGAUCAGUCACACUGGAACUGAGACACGGUCCAGACUCCUACGGGAGGCAGCAGUGGGGAAUAUUGGACAAUGGGCGAAAGCCUGAUCCAGCCAUGCCGCGUGUGUGAAGAAGGUCUUCGGAUUGUAAAGCACUUUAAGUUGGGAGGAAGGGCAGUAAAGUAAUACUUUGCUGUUUUGACGUUACCGACAGAAUAAGCACCGGCUAACUCUGUGCCAGCAGCCGCGGUAAUACAGAGGGUGCAAGCGUUAAUCGGAAUUACUGGGCGUAAAGCGCGCGUAGGUGGUUUGUUAAGUUGGAUGUGAAAUCCCCGGGCUCAACCUGGGAACUGCAUUCAAAACUGACUGACUAGAGUAUGGUAGAGGGUGGUGGAAUUUCCUGUGUAGCGGUGAAAUGCGUAGAUAUAGGAAGGAACACCAGUGGCGAAGGCGACCACCUGGACUAAUACUGACACUGAGGUGCGAAAGCGAGGGGAGCAAACAGGAUUAGAUACCCUGGUAGUCCACGCCGUAAACGAUGUCAACUAGCCGUUGGAAGCCUUGGGCUUUUAGUGGCGCAGCUAACGCAUU